UUUGGACUGUGGGUGGGCUCACACUGAAAGCAAACUUUUAUGGACUGCGUUACCCCUCUCAUGGCUCAUGCCUUCCUUCCUAAAACUAGGGUUUACAAUUUCACUACUCUAUAUAACCUAUUCGUUGCUUAUCAUUUCAAUCACACCUUCUCACCAAAUUCAUCUUCUGAAUUCAUAAUUUUUUCUUUCUUUCUAUGUUUUGCGAAUUCGAUUUUCAAUUAAGAAAGUUCCGAUGAGGAAGAAAUCCCCUUAAAGAUAGGAAGUGCCGUAUGACACUUUAAACAGCAGCGGAUCACGGCGGCGCGUCAUCCCAUCCACCAAUUCGCCGGCCUCCGAUCAUUAACACGAUCUUAGAGCUCAGUUCGUUGGUCGGGAUUCGCGUUUUAGCCUCUUCCACUGUGUGUGUGAUUUUGAACGGGUCUCUGAGGUUUUUUUCAUCUACUUUUCUAUCAAAUCAUUUGAUUUUUUCUUCAUAUCUUCUGGUUCGAUGCCACGUCGACGGUAGCCAAAAGUGCAGUGACCGACGAUGCUAUGAUUGAACCUAUAACAGACUUUGUGUCUUUCGCAAUUUUAUAGGAACCUGUGAACUGAUUGUUAUCCGUUCAUUCACAGAGCCGGUUUUUGCGAUUACAUUUUUUUUAAUAAAAAAAAUAUUUUUAAUUGAUUGAUUUUUGAUGAAAUUUGUGUGUUGCCAAUGAGGUAUUAAAUCGUUAUAAGUUGGAAUUACCGACUGAUUUUACAUUGAUGAUACAUCGACUAUCUGAGGCAUUUCAAAUUGUUUUGAAUUUUUUGGAUCUUAAUAUUCAUAUAAAAAAGAUAAAUUGAUCGAUAGUUUGUUUUUUUGGCAUUAAUAUUAUAUGAAUAUUCACAGCAGAUCAUGUUGUAAUUCAUAAGAACAAGGAAUUGCUUUUUAACUAAAAUGUCCGAAUUAGGGUGUAACGUUUUUAAUUAGUUCCACACUAUUAAAAUUUUUUUGGAUGAAAAUAAUUUAUUCAGGUGAUAACUUAUUUUUAUUUUAGAUUUGCUAUGUGGUAGUUGUUUGUGGUUUGUAGAUAGUGAUUUUGAAUUGUUUUGUGUCGAGGCUUGAACAAUGUUGCUUGAUGAUUCUUGAAAGUGCCGAAGUGUAGCUCAAGAGCACGUGUGAAUUUGUAAUUUGUCUUACAGAAGAUUGUUGUUGGCUUAUUCUCCUUGAAAGGAAAAAGAUGAUUCAUUUCGGAAUGUUGAUAUAUGACAUUUUCUGGAAAGUUGAUAGCUGACGUUUGCUUGAGACUUGAGAGGAUUAUGUGUGGUUAAGAAAACUUAGGUGUGAUUUGUGAGGGAUUAAGAAUUAUAAAUCUAUUUGUGAUCCAAAAGAAAAAAAUGACUAAUGGGAUGGGGAUUGCAUCAUCUGUUCCCGAUUAAUUUUAGGUUUAAAGAAAUUAAUUUUUUAGGUUAAAAGAAGUCUAUAAUAUAAUUUUAUAAUUUUUUUUGACAUCCCUAAUUAGUGCAAUGAGAGUAAGAUCCCUGACAACAAAUAGGAAAUAGUAAGGAAAGAUGAUAUUAGAUAUAGCACGGAAAAGGAGAAGAGACUACUUGAGUAGGUAAUGAGAGAAAUUAGAGAGGAUAAAGCGUAGUAUGUAAGAAAAAGAAAGAGAAAGUUUGGAAGAGAAAAGAGCACAAUAUGUAUUGAUGCAUACAAGUAAUUUUGUUGGAAUGUUGACUAAUGGAAUCUUUAACGUAUCCUGGUUACCUGAUAAAAUAAAGUAUGUUGGAAUGUUGACUAAUGGAAUCUUUAAAGUAUCCCGGUUACCUGAUAAUCUCUCGUAUUCGGCUAUAGCAAGAGCCCUAAAUCUAGAGCCGCUUGACAUUCCAAUCUAGUUUCAACAAUGCACUUUUCGGACUGAGAAAGAGGGUUUGCUUGGCGUAAUGAUUCAAAUUUGGAAAUAAAUAACAAAAAAUAUUUUACAAGGAUUCUGUACAUAUAAAAAACGUAGAAAUCUGAUUUAUGAUGAAGAAAGUUAUGACCCGUCGAAAUUUUACGAUCAAACAGACAUGAGUCGAUAAUCGUAAAAAGUGAAUUUUUGAAAACUAUUUUUUAGCCUUUAAACGAAAGCGUACAAUUUUAAUUUUUCUAAGAUUCAUAGCAGUAUACAACUUGGAAAUUGAAUUUCAGAUUGAUCGAUUAUUGACACAAUCUAAACGACAAUUGAAGAUCUUGUUAAUAGAAGCUCAACGAUAUAAAUACAGUCGAAAACGGACGUCAGAUGAUAAAGUUAUGAAUUUUUAACAGAUUUUUAACUGUCUAAGCAUGUUAAAAUAUACCUUUAUAGAUAACGUCAAAACUAGCCGACAGAGUUUAUGUAACAUCCUGAAUUUUAGAAGUAUGAUUUAAAGGUUUAUAGUGUAUAUUCGAAGAAGGAACUCGAUGAGUAGGUACGCUUACUCGUCGAGUCGGAGCGAGUUUGGGUCGCGAAUUAAGUGACCAACUUGCCGAGUCGAAAGCUGGACUCGACGAGUUUGUGCUGGAAUGAGAAAACCCUAAUCUUUGGGUUUGCAUCCUAUUUAAAGGACUUUAUGUCCUUCUCCCAGCCUCCUAAUCCCCCAGAGAGUUCUAGAAAACCCUAAUUUCGUGUGAGACUUCAUUAUUGAGGAGAUUGGAGCUUGGAAGAGGAAUUUGGUGGAAGGAGCUUGAGAAAUUAGGGGCUAGUAUCAAGGGGCUUGUAUGGAUCUGGGAUCUACAUAUGUUUGGACAUAUUUCAGAGGUAAGAAGCCAUAAUCUUAUGCUAAUUUCCAUUUUGGUUCAUCCUUGGUGGUUGAUGUGGAGUUCCUUGGCUUGUUUGAGAUCUAUCUCGAGUUGGAGUUUAGAUCUGAGGUUCCUACUCCAGAUCUAGACUUAUGAUGGCCUAGAAUGUCAUAAAGUUUCAGUCAUUGAGUUGUUGGUGAAGCCCCUUUGUCUAAAACCCAAGCCAUAGUGUGUUUUGGGCCUUUAUCUCCUUGGUUUCACGUAAAGUUUGCAACUUUAUGUGAGGGUUAGAUUGUAGAAUGGUGGAUCUAUGGUUUAGAGCCCCUGCAUGGCUCGAAAAGCCUCUAUAUGGAAUAAGAAAUGGAGAAACUCAGGGAGUCACAUGGGUGUACUCGACGAGUUGUAUGAACAUGUGCAGGGACUCGGCGAGUUGGAAGAACAACUCGGCGAGUCUAUUGAAGAUUGUCUUGGACUCGGCGAGUCUGUUCUUGGACUCGGUGAGUCAGGUCGCAGAACCCCAACCUCUUUUGGUUAAAUCCUUGGAUUAAGUGAGUCGGUCGGCGACUCAUUGAGUUAGACAGGAUGCGACUCAGAGAUUGUUGGACUCGGCGAGUCUUGGGGUGACUCGGCGAGUUAAGUUGUCUUAUGAGAGUUUUUUGGGAAUGGGAACUCGGCGAGUCGACAGGUUGACUCGACGAGUAGAAUCAACCGGGAAGGUUGACUUUGACUGAGGACUUUGACUUUGACCAAUAGUUGACCAGUUUGACUUCAAGGGUAUUUUGGUAAUUCUGGUAUUUAUGGCAUUGGUUCUUUGAUAGUGUUCUGUGGUGAAGUUUGUGUCGGUGGUCGAAGCAGCUUGGUCUUAUCUCUCCAGUCGGCAAUUGCAGGUGAGUUAUCCUCACUAUACCGACAUGGUCUACGACACCAAGGCCGACCCUUUAUCGGAUGGAAAUCCGGGUAUUGUUUGUUAUGUUAUUGCUUUGCUAGAUUUGCAUCCUAGUAUUUAGGAUGGUGUUAUGUUAGUGACCUCGUUAAGGUCGGUACCCGAUAUUUAGGGUAGUGUUAUGUUAUUGACCUGGUUAAGGUCGGUACCCGGUAUAUAGGGUGAUGUUAUGCUAGUAACCGGUUAGGUCGGAAUCCUGGUUAGGAUGUUGAUAUGCUAUGUGAUUUGUUAGACUGUUUGUCUGGUUAAUGAUUUGUUAUGUGAUUAAUUGCUUUAUGUGCACAUGAUUGUUUGACGGGGGUUGGAUUGAGGCGGGUCCUGCUUUGUGUUGUAGGCCAACAUAGCCACGCCGGACCGGAUAUUCCGAAGGCCGAGCGAGCGGUUCGGAUAGGCUGAAGGCCCCAAGAGGGCGGACCAGACGUGCCGAGGCUCGGAGAGUGGACCAGGCCGACUGAAGGCCCGGUGUGGGCGGACCAGUCAUAUUGUAGACUCAGAGGGUGGACCAGGUGGAUUGAAGGCCCGACGCGGGCGGACCAAUCACACAGUAGACUCGAUGUACAUGGCUAGACUCGGAGGGUGGACCAGGUGGACUGAAGGCCCGGUGCGGGCGGACCAGUCACACAGUAGACCCAAUGUGCAUGACUGUUCUAUUUGUGAUAUGUUAUGAGUACUUCAGGAGAUCGUGGCAAGGCGAAGGCGUGAUCGUACCGCUCUUCAUGUUUUAUGAUUUAUGUGAUAUGGUUCUGGGGAAUACUCUGGUGUUUAAACUAUUUUGAAAACAAGUGUAUGAACUUAAUGGUUUUUAAAUGAAUUAAAAUGUUUUAAUUUGGCUCGAA